rnacentral:rRNA from 1 species
UACGUAGGGGGCAAGCGUUGUUCGGAAUUACUGGGCGUAAAGGUCGCGUAGGCGGCACAGCAAGUCGGGAGUGAAAGCCCGGGGCUCAACCCCGGAAUGGCUUUCGAAACUGCUGAGCUAGAGUACAGAAGGGGCAACCGGAAUUCCCAGUGUAGCGGUGAAAUGCGUAGAUAUUGGGAAGAACACCUGAGGCGAAGGCGGGUUGCUGGGCUGAUACUGACGCUGAGGCGCGAAAGCGUGGGGAGCGAACAGG